AGGACUGUUUGGCUGUGCAGAAGCUUUGGUUUAUUUAAUACACAAGAGCUUUUCUUUUUCUUCGCCAAUAAUGUUUUGAUCUUAGCUGGGAAUGAGAAGUGCUUCAUUUAUUACCACUGUUUGGCAGUGACAUAAAGGCAUCCAGUGUUUAGCAGGUCCUCUGAAUGUACUUCGCUUGGAAAGAAAGCUGAGCUUCUGCAUGUGUAAACAUCUGUCUUCAUUCCACACUGCCUGAAGAGCUGGAAAACAUGCAAUGCAUUGAGAAGUAUGUCUGGACAGCAGUGACGACACUAACUCUGACUGGAGAUCUCCCUGGUAACACUGGCCCAAGCCUGAGAGACAUGCUGCAACAUGCUGAAUGAUGACUUAAGAUGUAUAGGUGUUGCGAUGGCUUCCUCCUGCUUUGGGCACCCUCGGUCUUUCUGUGAUGCACGGGGGAAGUUUCUUACCUCAGAGCUGAGGACUUGAGAGACUCAUCCAAGCAAGAAGCUGCCUCAGUUUUGUGAUGAGCGAAGUACCCAAGGAGAGAAGCACUGACACAAGGAGAUCAGCACCCUGCGUAUGGGAUUCCCACAGCAGAGCUUGCUUGAGAAGGGAUUUGUAGCUGUUUGCAAGCUUCCCAGAAAAAAAAAAAACUUUAAAAACAUGAGCAGCAAAAGGCUGGUAAAAGUUGUAACCAGCUCUGAAUAUCGCCAAAGAAUAUCACCUGCUGAUGAUUUACAGACUCCUGGAGACGUGCUGUUGAGUCUCAAAGAACUGGAAAAAGAACAACUCACCCAAUGUGCUGCUUGGGAAACAGCGACAGGCCCAAGGGAGGUGCUGUUUGUUCCAGUGGAAACCAUACAGAAGAGUGGGUUCUUUCAUCCUGCAACACUGUGUGACUCUGCCUCUUCUGACUGCACUUACUCCGCGCAGUGGACUCACCUCCAUCGUCUCCUGGCCUCUCCUUUUCCUCCAGCUUGCCCAAUUUCAAGCCUGAAAUCUGUGCUUGCAGUCUGCAGCCUCUUGUGGCACUGGAGGGCUGAGUGCUUUAGGUAGACAGCACUCAGCCAUGCAAAGCAGCGCUCCCAACGAGGGCAUUGGAGGAGACUCAGCCCAGCAAAGCUGCUGGUGGAGCAGAACUCACUGCCACUGUUUUCCAUAUGUUCCUCCCUAUGGGGGCCUGACUGGACCUCGACCUGAGGAGGGAACAGAAUGGAAAUUUAAUAGAAAGGCGAGUCCCACCCCCAGGUAUACCAAGCGGCCAAACUCUUUUGUUCUAGUUUUUUCCGGAUUUAGCAUGUUUCUGUCAGUGGGAGGGUACUAAAGGCAGCACAUUCUUCCCUUGCUCUGCAUAAGUCCACAACAUCUCUUAGGGCUCAACCUUAAUUUGCAGCCCUUCAAAAGAACCUUCCCCCAUUUCCUCUCUUCCUUUUUUUCUUUUUUUUUUUUUUAAGUCAGUUCACAUUGAUUAAUCAUUUUAUAAAUGUUUAGGGCCAGGAUUGUGAAACCUUUGCUGGCAGCAUUUUUCCCCUGGAGUCAAGGAGACUACUCAUUAGCAUGACUACUUGCCAGCGUGAGGGAGGGAUUCGCAAUCUGGAUGUUUGUAGUUUUAAAAAUAUGUCUCUAUUUAGCUGAUUUGGGCGGCUGAACAGGGCUGGUUAUGGAAAUCAGACCAACAGGCUGUCACACUAGGGUGU
ensembl:lncRNA